rnacentral:rRNA from 1 species
GAAAACCUGUCCCAGUUCGGACUGGAGUCUGCAACCCGACUCCACGAAGUUGGAUUCGCUAGUAAUCGCGCAUCAGCCAUGGCGCGGUGAAUACGUUCCCGGGCCUUGUACACACCGCCCGUCAAGCCAUGGGAGCCGGGGGCGCCUGAAGUCCGGGACCGCGAGGACCGGCCUAGGGCGAAACUGGUGACUGGGGCUAAGUCGUAACAAGGUAGC